ACGAACGCUGGCGGCGUGCUUAACACAUGCAAGUCGAACGGUAAGGCCCUUCGGGGUACACGAGUGGCGAACGGGUGAGUAACACGUGGGUGAUCUGCCCUGCACUUCGGGAUAAGCCUGGGAAACUGGGUCUAAUACCGGAUAGGACCAUGGACUUCACGGUUUGUGGUGGAAAGCUUUUGCGGUGUGGGAUGGGCCCGCGGCCUAUCAGCUUGUUGGUGGGGUAAUGGCCUACCAAGGCGACGACGGGUAGCCGGCCUGAGAGGGUGUCCGGCCACACUGGGACUGAGAUACGGCCCAGACUCCCACGGGAGGCAGCAGUGGGGAAUAUUGCACAAUGGGCGCAAGCCUGAUGCAGCGACGCCGCGUGAGGGAUGACGGCCUUCGGGUUGUAAACCUCUUUCAAUAGGGACGAAGCGCAAGUGACGGUAUCUAUAGAAGAAGCACCGGCCAACUACGUG
rnacentral:rRNA from 1 species